UACGGAGGGUGCAAGCGUUAUCCGGAUUCACUGGGUUUGAAGGGUGCGUAGGUGGCUUUGUAAGUCAGUGGUGAAAUGCCGGAGCUUAACUCCGGAACUGCCAUUGAUACUGCUUAGCUUGAAUCACGUCGAGGUGGAUGGAAUAUUACAUGUAGCGGUGAAAUGCUUAGAUAUGUAAUAGAACACCGAUUGCGAAGGCAGUUCACUAGGCGUGUAUUGACACUGAGGCACGAAAGCGUGGGGAUCAAACAGG
rnacentral:rRNA from 1 species